AAUCAAACGGCUCCUGUUAUUUGAUCGUGAUAGUCCGUUAAUAAAGAAAACAAUUAUAAAAAAUUGUGUGCAUAUUUUUGUAAAAUAAAUUAUCAAACUUGAAAAAGGAAAAAAAAUAACCAAUAAAUGCGUAAUUAAUGAUACAAAAUCUGUGAUAAUUGCAAAUUCAAAAUGCAUUUUAAAUUAUUUUUAAGUUUAUUUGUUAACGUGGUAGUUAUUAAUUUAGUAAAAGGGUCUAUAGUGUUGCCGGUACGAAAUGAAGCGUUUAAUAAAGAUCUUUAUGAAGAAGUGCUGGAUGCAGAAUUAUGUGAUCAACAAAUACAAAUAAUUAGAAAUAACACUUUGAUAUCCUUGUUUUUUGCGGACGCCGGCAUGAGGGUCCCCAGAGGAGUUCUAGAAGGGAACACUAUGGACAUGGGCAACUACCACCAAUGUAUUGGCUUGAACCAAAAUAUAGCAGAUACUGAAUUACAAGGAAAGUACUGCAUGAUACGAGUACCUUUAAAUCAGACUUUUGUUACGCCAUGGAUGAAUUCUGAGACGAAUUUCAACCCUAAUAACCUACGCUUGGACAGUGAGACGAUAAAGAGUUUAAGAGACUUUUAUGCUAUGAAAAAUGGAAUGAAUGCCUUGACUGGUGCUAUUGAUGUUGACAGGCUAGCACCAAACAACCCGUUGGCGUCGCUUACAUUCCGGCUAGCCGUCUGUGUCCCCAAGCCUUGCACAACGGAACAAGCGAUCAACUCUUUCAUGUUCAACAUGACUGCUGUAGGCUUCCAAUACGAUGAUGAUUUCUGCCGUCUGCCUGAUGACAAACCUUGGGUACCUGGUGAUACAGUCAUUGUUGUCCUCUUCUCCAUAAUUGGACUACUAACUAUAGUGAGCACAUCCUACGAUAUUUGGCACACAAUUAUUUUGAAAAAAGAUCCUAAGACAGUGAGCGUGAUCGGCAGAUGUUUCUCAGUGUACACGAAUGGUCGUCGCGUCAUGAAUUUCCAAUCUAGUCCUAACAGCAUAGAGUGUUUAGAUGGCAUCAGAGCAAUGGCUAUGCUAUGGGUGGUCCUAGGACAUACCUUUUCAUCAGUAGCGUUUUUCCAAAACCCGCUAGAUGCCUUUACGUGGGCGACAUCAUGGCAAUCAUUAUGGAUCACAUCAGCCACAGUUACAGUGGACACAUUCUUCACAUUGAGUGGUUUUCUAGUCGUUUAUACUGCACUGGGAAAAUUCAAUUCAAUGCAACUCCUCAAAAACAUCCACUUGUUUUGGCUGAAUCGACUCCUACGCAUGUUUCCCCUAUUGGCUGUGGCUGUGCUCUUCGAAGCUACGUACUUGCACCGCAUGGCUGAUGGCCCUGUAUGGGAGAUGGUGGAAGAUCAAGUCAAUAGAUGCAGAACUUAUUGGUGGUCUACCUUACUGCAUAUGCAGAAUUAUAUGAAUCCUACUUUUACGUGUGUCGGCCAAACGUGGUACUUAGCCAUAGACGUCCAACUGCAUAUUCUGUCUCCAAUCAUCCUAUUCUGGGUGCUUAUGGGCAAGCAGCGAAUCGCAUGGGCAGCGUUACUAUCUGUUUUGGCCGCUGUCCUCACAGCUUCUACUACUUACAUCUUUAUAAAGGAGUUUCCUUCUACUAUGAUGGGGCAACCUGACCGUAUGUUCGACUACAUAGUCAACUAUUACAUGAACACGUUAACAAGAGCCUCUCCAUUCUUUGUCGGCAUGCUGUUCGGUUAUAUUGUGAAAACUAAGAAACUGGAAAUGUCAAAGAUUGGAACAGUAUGCUACUGGGCAGCAUGCUUUACUUUAUCAACGUUCAUCAUAUACACGAGUUAUCCUAUCAACCAAGCUGAUUGGGACAAUCAAGUGGCGGAUAGUCUUUAUAACUCCUUUAUAAGACCUCUUUGGGGACUCUUUAUUGGAUGCAUGAUUUUCGCUUGUUUUAAUGGCUAUGGAGGUCCUAUAAACUGGUUCCUUUCACUAAGCGUAUGGAAGUUGCAAUCUCGAAUGUCGUAUGGUAUAUAUCUGUUCCACUACGGGCUCAUGAAUGCUGUCAACUUUAGCGCUAUAACGCCUCCAUUCUUCUCUGUUAAAUCUUACGUAUUCAAGUUCUUAGCGCACUACUCGCUAGCGUUUGCGGUGACAUUCUUCUUAGUUUUAUUAAUCGAUGCUCCGUGUUCUACGCUCUUCAAGAUUUUAUUAGGAGGAGGAGGUAAGAAGCCACAUAGAAAGGAAAUAGAUGAAGAUCCAACGAAAGAUGUUGAAAAAAUUUCGUGAAAUAUAUUGACGACUGGCUACUUGUACAUACCGAUGUGAUAUUUAUUUAUUAAAGUUAUUUAAUAAACUAUUUUAC